ensembl:snRNA U6 U6 spliceosomal RNA
GUGCUUGCUUCAGCAGCACAUACUAGAACUGGAACGACGCAGAGAUGAGUAGCAUGACCCUGUGCAAGGUUGACAUGCAAAUCUGUGAAGCAUUGCGUAUUUUU